AUUGAACGCUGGCGGCAGGCCUAACACAUGCAAAGUCGAGCGGUAACAGAAAGAGCUUGCUCUUUGCUGACGAGCGGCGGACGGGUGAGUAAUGCUUGGGGAUGUGCCCUAAGGUGGAGGAUAACCAUUGGAAACGAUGGCUAAUACUGCAUAGUAUCUACGGAUUAAAGGAGGCUUCGGCUUUCGCCUUAGGAUCAACCCAAGUGGGAUUAGCUAGUUGGUAAGGUAAUGGCUUACCAAGGCGACGAUCCCUAGCUGGUCUGAGAGGAUGAUCGGCCACACUGGAACUGAGACACGGUCCAGACUCCUACGGGAGGCAGCAGUGGGGAAUAUUGCACAAUGGGCGAAAAGCCUGAUGCAGCAACGCCGCGUGAACGAUGAAGGCCUUCGGGUU
rnacentral:rRNA from 1 species